GACUUGUCGAAACUUGUUUGAGCAAUUCCUUUUCUUGUGUAACUGUAUUCAAUAAUCGCAAGCCUCCAUCUUAUUCGCUCCAUCUUCCAGAUAAUUAACUUCAUUUUACGACCAGAGUGGCGUCUGACGUGGGGUGCCGUCGUUUCUCUCUCUCUGCGCAGUUUUUCUUCCCUCGGACACGAAUGUGAUUUUCCACACCAAACACUUUCCCACACAGACACGCGGCCGUCGUCGCCGCUGCGGCUGCGAAUUCUUUCCGACGCAGUGUGCUGGGCAAGUCUUGUUUCUUUUUUUUUAUGCGUCGACGCUCGUCUGCGUCAGAGUGCCCUGCGUCUGCUUUUUUGGUCCAUCUCGGCCUCACGUCGCUGAAAAUUCCAGAGGCAAAGGAUAAUCUCUUGUUUGCGUCCAAGCUUGAGAAGGUGUCCGCAACCAUACACCCGCUUGACCUUGGCAGGUUGCAAGGUCAUGCUAGUUGGUCAUGGUGGAGCUGAAGAGAUUUUGCAUUUCAACAAAGCUACAUUGCUGACCAUUUGGCCUCAAUUUCGCCAAAUAAGUUUGGAGAAGAUUUGUGUUGCCUCGCCAAGCCAGCCUAGCUGUCUCAAGCCUGAACCGUGUUGGCCGAAUUUGCUGAAAAGCAGCCACUAAGAUUCUUCAAGAAUUCGUUCACCUCUCGAAGAUUUACCUCGAUCCACUUGAUAUAGAUAAUGCUUUGCUGAAAUUUUUAACCUUGCGAAUCGUUUUCGCAUCAAUUCCCUCAUCGGUUAUUGCGUGGAGAUUUGGAGCUCAACCUGUGUGUGAGGAUGAUCAUGUUUGGCUAUGUUCCUGAAUGCUGUGCUCGGUGAGACGGAGAAGGAAAACUACAAUGUGAAGAUAAAAUGUGCCAAGUAAGGUGCUUGGAGCAUCCCUCGUCUAUGAAAACAAGUGAGAAGAGCAUAAUUUCCAUGCUCCAGUUACAAGAUUUUAAUGUUACACUUUCGAGAAGCAACUCAUCGACUUCUGCGCUAAAUGGGCCAAACAGUUUCCAAGCAGCAGAUUUAAAGGUCAUGCGAGGGCUUCUUCCUCACCUGCGAGUCUUGACUCUGAAAGCCAGCCAAAGCUACAGAGCUCUCUGCCUUGCCUUUAUGACAAAGUCAAAACAUUUUGUUUUGGUGGACCUUGCAACCAGAAGCAGUUCUUCUGGCCAAGAGAGUCCUCUGCUCUGCCACCACGGCUCGGUCCCACCGUGGCUUAACAUUUGUGUCAUUUCUGGUUCGUCAAGUGUUCACCGUUGACCGCAUCAAGUCUCAUGCCCAAGAGAUACUCGACAAACGAGCAGAGAAGACCUUGACAAAUGUGGUCAACUUCUCCGUCAAAGAAGAUGUCAACCUAGCCAAGGGCCGAGUGCGCGGCGCAGAAGCUGGGGCGCCAGAGUGGGUCGCGCGCGCCUGCUGACGGCGUUCAGUGUCGGUGGGGCGACGCUUGCAGGCGGAUGGACACCCUGUACGCGGCCAGGGUGCACGGUUUUGCGGCCCCGGGGCUUGUCAACCUGACAGGCCUCGAGGGCCACGAAGGCCUCUUGUCGCUGGUGGCCGUCUCUCGCCGCGCUUGUCUUUGCUUUCAUCACUUACAUGUACAAUUUAAACUGAAAGAUUGGACCACGAUUUGUGUUGGUCGCUGGCGUUGGCGCUGCACUACAUGCGGCUGAGCGUGUUCUGCUGGCUGGCCGCGAUGACUUUUGACCUGUACUGCUGCUUCCGGGAGAACGCGUCGCUGGUGGCCGCCCUGCCGACGCCGCCCGCCCUGCGCCAGUCCUUCGCGCGCCUCUUGCUGUUUGCGUGGGGCGCCCCCUCCUCCCCACGCUGGCCGCCGACCUCCUGCAGAUGCGCCCCGCGGCCGCCGGCCUCUCCGACCCCAACUGCUGGUUCCUCGACGACAUGCCCGUGGCGGCCACUUUCGCCGUCCCGGCCGCCGCCCUCCUCGUCGCCGACCUCGCCUUCCUGGUGCGCGCCGCGGCCGUCGCUCGCGCGGCCGUCGGCCUCCAAAUUGAGCAGCGUGUCAAGGCCAAGAUGCUGCGCAGGCGACGGCUGCAGUUGUCGCUGUUUUUCUGGCUGGCUGCCUUCCUGGCCGUGGUCAGCGCCGUCGGAGUGUUCGGCCGCCUCAUUCACAGCCAACUGCUGCUGGCCGUGUUCAGCGUGGCCGCCGGUCUGCAGGGCCUGGUGAUGGCGCUCAGCGUGGCCUGCAGCUGCCGCGUCCUCAAACUGUACACGCGGCCGCCUCCCGCGGCCAGGCCGGGAGCGCUGCACAAGGCGCCCAGCGCCAUGCACCUCCUCCAGUGCGACGCCUCUCCGGUCUGAUUGUGAGACCACAAAAAUUUCAACUUUAACAUAAAUAAUCGUCUGCAUAUUACCCCCAUACAAUCCAUAAUUGUAAAACUAAAUGCAAUCUCUGAAUUAAUAAAUGUCGAAUUUGGUGUA